rnacentral:rRNA from 1 species
AGUGAACGCUGGCGGUAGGCCUAACACAUGCAAGUCGAACGGCAGCACAGGAGAGCUUGCUCUCUGGGUGGCGAGUGGCGGACGGGUGAGGAAUACAUCGGAAUCUACUUUUUCGUGGGGGAUAACGUAGGGAAACUUACGCUAAUACCGCAUACGACCUACGGGUGAAAGCAGGGGACCUUCGGGCCUUGCGCGAUUGAAUGAGCCGAUGUCGGAUUAGCUAGUUGGCGGGGUAAAGGCCCACCAAGGCGACGAUCCGUAGCUGGUAUGAGAGGAUGGUCAGCCACACUGGAACUGAGACACGGUCCAGACUCCUACGGGAGGCAGCAGUGGGGAAUAUUGGACAAUGGGCGCAAGCCUGAUCCAGCCAUACCGCGUGGGUGAAGAAGGCCUUCGGGUUGUAAAGCCCUUUUGUUGGGAAAGAAAUCCAGCUGGCUAAUACCCGGUUGGGAUGACGGUACCCAAAGAAUAAGCACCGGCUAACUUCGUGCCAGCCGCCGCAGUAA